UACGGAAGGCGCAAACGUUGCUCGGUGUCACUGGGCUUAAAGAGCGCGUAGGCGGUUCGGCGUGUGCUGGGCAAAAGCCCCCGGCUUAACCGGGGAAGCGCUCGGCAAACUGCCGGACUUGAGGAUCGGAGGGGGGAGCAGAACUCUGGGUGUAGCGGUGAAAUGCGGAGAUAUCCAGGGGAAUGCCGGUGGCGAAGGCGGCUCUCUGGUCGACUCCUGACGCUGAAGCGCGAAAGCUAGGGGAGCGAACGGGAUUAGAUACCCCCGUA
rnacentral:rRNA from 1 species